rnacentral:piRNA from 1 species
AGGGACAAGAUGAAAGGAGCAGACCUACUC